rnacentral:tRNA from 1 species
GGUAAAAUGGCUGAUGUAAGCAUUGAACUGUAAAUUCAAAGUCAGAGAAUUACAAUCUCCUUUUACCA